CUGACAGCUGAGGGCAAUAUGCAAACGUACGGUGUGGUCAUGGAGCAGGCAGAAGCAGCAGUCCUGGAUGACUAUUCAGAUACCAACUUGAGGAGAGAGACCUAGCAAUCACAACUACAUCUCAACACCAGACAGUGGAAUUAUGGAACAAACUGCCAUGCAAUUCUGUAUCAACUAUUCUAUUCUGCCAGCUGUAACAAGAAUUCACUCCUGAAAAAGUGUCACACACUCAUCUGUCACUAACAGUCAAGCCGCCAGCAACUAAGAGUCAGCAGCAAAGGGCAGCUGUACAUCUCCUUCCUCUCACAAGGUCUAUUCACCACUCAAAACAUGGCAUUUAAAAGGAAAAGUCCUUGAGCAAAGGAGAAAUUAAUGGGCCACAUUUUCCUGGCAAUUCUGGAAACUUUUGAUUGGAUGUUAGACAUUGUGAUUUUACAAUGUCCAAGUAAAGAUAAUUAUAACAGAAGUGAGUUUUCCUCUUUUCUUUCUGCAUAUGCUGGAUACUGACAAGGGCAUGAUCAAGAAAAUGAAGACAACCCACAGAAAUGGAAGAAACAUUUGCGCAUCAUACCUGGAACUACUGAUACUUGCAACAACAUGGAUGGAUGUCAAAAUAAUUAUCCUGAAUGAAAGACAGCAGAUGACCCCCUCAAUGAGCGCAUAUUGUAUGAUUCCAUUUACAUAAAAUUCUAGAAGAUACAAACUAAUGUGUAGUGACAGAAAGCAGAUCAGUAUUUGUCUGUGGAGGAGGGGGUGCAGGCACAGAAGCUAGAGGUAGUGAUUACAAAGAGGCAGGAGGAAACACUGGGGUGAUGGAUAUGUUCAUUAUCUUGACUGUGAUGGUGGUUUCACUGGCAUAUACAUAUGUCAAAACAUCAAAUUUUACAUUUUAAAUAUGUGUGGUUUAUUGUAUGUCAAUAAUAUCUCAAUAAAGUUACUGUAAAAAAAAAGCGUUAAUUCAAGUAUUUAAACUACUGCAGUUCUAUA